UACGUAGGGGGCGAGCGUUAUCCGGAUUUACUGGGCGUAAAGCGCGUGUAGGCGGUUGCGUAAGUUAGUUGUGAAAUCCCUCGGCUCAACCGAGGAACUGCAGCUAAUACUGCGCGGCUGGAGUGGCAGAGAGGAAAGUGGAAUAUCCGGUGUAGUAGUGAAAUGCGUAGAUAUCGAAUGGAACACCAGUGGCGAAGGCGACUUUCUGGCUGCUAACUGACGCUGAGACGCGAAAGCUAGGGGAGCGAACGGG
rnacentral:rRNA from 1 species